rnacentral:rRNA from 1 species
CACGCAAGCGGUCUAACAAGUCUGGCGUGAAAUCCUCUGGCUUAACCAGGGGCGGUCGCUGGAGACUGUUAAACUUGAGGCGAUGAGAGGGGUGCAGAAUUCCCGGUGUAGUGGUGGAAUGCGUAGAUAUCGGGAGGAAUACCAGUGGCGAAAGCGGCACCCUGGCGUCGUACUGACGCACAUGUGCGAAAGCGUGGGGAGCGAACGGGAUUAGAUACCCCGGUAGUCCACGCGGUAAACGAUGAACACUAGGUGUGGGUGGAGUCAAUCUGUCCGUGCCAAAGCCAACGCGUUAAGUGUUCCGCCUGGGAAGUACGGCCGCAAGGCUAAA